UGGGGAAUUUUGGACAAUGGGCGAAAGCCUGAUCCAGCAAUGCCGCGUGUGUGAAGAAGGCCUUCGGGUUGUAAAGCACUUUUGUCCGGAAAGAAAUCCUUGGCUCUAAUACAGUCGGGGGAUGACGGUACCGGAAGAAUAAGCACCGGCUAACUACGUGCCAGCAGCCGCGGUAAUACGUAGGGUGCAAGCGUUAAUCGGAAUUACUGGGCGUAAAGCGUGCGCAGGCGGUUUGCUAAGACCGAUGUGAAAUCCCCGGGCUCAACCUGGGAACUGCAUUGGUGACUGGCAGGCUAGAGUAUGGCAGAGGGGGGUAGAAUUCCACGUGUAGCAGUGAAAUGCGUAGAGAUGUGGAGGAAUACCGAUGGCGAAGGCAGCCCCCUGGGCCAAUACUGACGCUCAUGCACGAAAGCGUUGGGAGCAAACAGGAUUAGAUACCCUGGUAGUCCACGCCCUAAACGAUGUCAACUAGUUGUUGGGGAUUCAUUUCCUUAGUAACGUAGCUAACGCGUGAAGUUGACCGCCUGGGGAGUACGGUCGCAAGAUUAAAACUCAAAUGAAUUGACGGGGUCAUAGCU
rnacentral:rRNA from 1 species